rnacentral:lncRNA from 1 species
CAUAAAAUAUCAUGCGAUUAAUUAACUUUGAAGUUUUUUCUCUUGGAUUUUUAUUACCAAAUAGCGCUUACAUCAUUUAUUCGGUUAAACUAGGUUCGUGGUUACAGUUGUCCAACGAGAAGAUUGGUGCACGGAUCGAAAUAAAAAGUUGCGCACGGUUCACGUGGACGUUAGAUACCUGUACACGCUACGCCGAUAAAUUGCUUCGAAUUAUCUGCACGCUCAUCACUAGCACUUCCUUUCUUCGUCGAGCAGCGACCGUCUGUAUAGUGCAUGCAGAUAAAUUCUAACGAUUAUAUGCAAUUUCUCUGCGACAUUAACGAACGUAGAAUCGGAAGUUCGAACGUACUAUAGUGCACUGUGAGAUAUUCAUCGAGAACUACUCUGCCUCGAACGAAACCGAUUUGCUGCUGCUUUCGAAGAAAAAAGAAAAAGAAUGAAAAAGAUCAGAAAGGAAGCAAUUCUCUUUUUUCCUUUCCUUCUCAAGUUUAUUGAUAUUUUCAACCAUUGGUUAUUGACGUUUCUAACCUAAAUUUUCAAUUUUAACGAUCUUAUAAAAUCUAUUAUAUAAUUUCUCUAUAAAAAUAAUGUAUCAAAUUAUAAAAAUCAAAGUUGACAAUUUAGUUAAUCUGAAAAUUCUUAGACGUUCUUAAUAGACAUCUUUAACAAUUAUGGAAUGUUGUAUGAAAGCAUAUCGAAAUCUUCAGAAAGAAUUCCAAUCGAUACGAAAAUCAAACCAAUAUUAAACCAAAUCGAAAUCGAGAGGUUUGCAAUUAAAACGCCAGAAUGAAAAUAUCGUUAAAAUAUAAUAUGCUUUUCACACGAGGAAGAAUAAGAGAAGUAAGAACUAGAAUCACGAAGGAAGAAACGUUGACAAGGGACGUGGUGGAAAGGUCAAUGACGUUCAUACUCGUGAUCGAUAAUAUAAUAAUUACGUUCUGAUCUAGAUUAUAUCCCUGAACAAUGCGGCGUAUUAUCUUUGAUGACGUUCUAAGCAACAAAACUAUCGUGUUCUCAUAUACGUGUUCAUCUAUAUUAUAGAAGAGGAAGAAAACAUCGUUAAAUUUCUAAUUUGAAUCAACGAACAGAAGAAUAUAAUUUUCCUACAAAUGAAAAAGGAUCGAAAUCCUCUCUAUGAAAGAGAUAGUAUAAUUAACGAAGACAAUGAAUUUCACGGAUCCCUCGAAUAAGCAAUUCAACCAGCGGACGGAAGUCUUGUUAAGAAUGCGUUAAACCCAACGUUAAACCGUAAAUACGAAUAAUUCAAGUUCCCAGCGUCAACUGCAGGCAAGUAAAGGUGAACAACAUCUUGAAGAGAGAGAAAGACAGUUAGUCACACAGAGAGCAUUAGGAACGAAUGUAAUUAUAGUUCAUAGAGGCGAAUUUUCGUGGUAGAAGUAAUUAGAUUGUAUUAAUAGCACAAACGUCUAAUUUGAAUCGAAACUUUCUUCUGUGCACACGCUUAAUGGCUUAAAAAUAUUUUUUUAGGAGUUUUGGAAUAUCGAUUUUCAAUUAAUAAAAUAUUAUUAAAGUGCGAUUAAAUUGUUGAAUAUUCAGAAUAUGAAGAUCUUUGUAAGAUUAUAAUUUUGCACUGGAAGAAUGUAUAAAUUUAUAUGUAUAAAUUUUUAUCAUAUCUCUAAUUGAAAGUGAUUAUACAUUAGCGAGAAUUCGAUAUAUUAUUUCUCUUCAUUCGACUGACAAUAUCUAAACAAGAAAGGUACCAAUUUUUCUUUUUUCGAAACCAUUAUACUGAAAGAAAAAUUGGAAAAAAAUGUAUAUCCUCUAUUCUGUUGUUCAAACAAAAAAUAUUCUGAUAAAAUGAAAGUACAUUGUUCACUGCAUUAACCUAAUUUGGAAAUAUUUUACCGCAACUUUGUAUCGGGAUUCCUGCAGCUUUGUAAUUUAAUUAAACGCGAAUACUUUUGAAAUGUAAUUACGAAUAACACUUGUAGAAAUCAUUCGACAAUAAACAAUAAACAUUUUAUUCAUUUUGUUUAUCGUCCGAUGAAUAUUUCAAAUAUUCGAAUAUUUAAA